GGUACCUAAAUUCAUAUCUCUACAACUAUUAAGACCUAAAUGUAGACUGCCCCCGCCUAAUCCCACCCGCCGCUCUGCCUCCCCCGCGGCGAAUCCCGCCCGCGCCUCCCCCGCCAUAGAACCCGCCUCCAACCGUGAAUCGCCCGCCGUGCCUUCACCCGCCGCUCCUCCAUCUCCUCCUCCUCGUCGUCGCCGCCGCCGCGCUGCGGGGGGCGCCGUUGGCGGACGCCGGCGCGGACACCUGCAAGGCGUGGUUGGUGCAGUCCAUCCCCACGGACAUGCCGCACCUGAGCCGCAUCCCCGGGGUCCUAUCCACGGGAGAUGUGCUCCAGUGGCUCUCGGGGAAUGCAACGAAGAGUCUGGACAUCCUUGCGCAGUACUGGCAGUUCUUGCCCCAGCCGAACAAUCCGAAAUCGGGGGACUACGGGUUCUCCAAGAGUGACAUGAGGAGAUUCGGGGCCGACGAGGGCCGCCGGGUUUACAAGGCACUGGAAAAUGCUGCAGACCGUAAGAUCAAAAUCAGGAUUGUCCAGCACUCUGGAUUUGCUCCUGAUUUUGACCAAGAGAGCGCAGAUCUGGCUGCAGGAAGACCAAAUGUUGAGAACGCAACUGUUCUUUUCGAGGACUGGUGGGGAUCUGGUGUUGUGCACGCAAAGGUCUGGAUAUCAGAUAAGAAGGAUGUGUAUAUAGGUUCCGCAAACAACGACUGGAAAUCCCUUACUUAGGUCAAGGAGCUUGGGAUUUAUUUUGCUGGUUGCCCACAGAUAGCAAAAACUGUGGAGGUCUAUUUUCAAAACCUGUGGACGCUUUCAACCCUCAACUCAACUUUUUACACCAAACAAGCCUGGGAUACGCAGUGGCAAGUUUCUAGAAAGGUUCCAUGCUGGUCUCAUUUCCUACAGCCCAAAGAAAGAUGCAGAUUCAUGAUGCACCGCAAAAGGGCCAUCACAAAAUUAUAGAAUUUUAUGAUGUCAGAGCAGCCGAAGGUGCAGCUCGUGCUUUAAACAGGAGUGAUCUUGCUGGCAAGAAAAUAAAACUAGAGACUGGCCGUCUGAGUGGUGCUAGACGGUAUGUCAUUGAAAUGUGAAUAUUGCUGUUCAUUCUCAUAUUUCAUCAGCAAUACUUCCUUUAUUACUUUCGUUCACUCCGUAUUUAACUGUUGAUCAUUUGAUCACAGCUUUAGUGAACCUUAGGUCAUUUUUGGCAAGUUGAACGAUUCUUGCAUAGGCAUCACUGGUAUAUAGUAGCAUCACUUAUUCUAUAUGAUGGUACCUGUGGAUAGGAUGCACAUUAGUUAUGUGCCUGGGUUUUUUGUUUUCUUUUCUCAAGCGGAAAAUCUCUUCCUGGAGCUGUAAACAUUGCACUAUUUUUAUUUUGUCAUGCAUAGAUAGUUACUUAAUCUCUGUUUGUUUAGUUCUGUGUGUGGGCUCUCAUGUCCUAAACAAAACAUUUAUUCUUUUAUAUUGUAGUCCUAAUUCUUUGUAUACAUUUAGGUGUGUUGGUAGAUACUUGUAUGUUAGUUAUUUAGUUAUUGUAGCCCUUCAUUGCCUUCAUUGGGUUCAUCUAAUAUAGUAGCAAUGACAUCUUGUGGACGUGAAAAUGGGAGUAUGCAUGGUUUGCAUUCUGGACUUCUCACAUCAAUGAGCCCGUUCAGAGAGGCUUCAUUUCUGGGUCUAUCAUCUACCCUACCACAGAGCCUGUCCUCUCCCAUUGGAAUUGCUUCUGCUGCAACUCAUAGUAACCAGGCUCCCCUUGGUGAGCUCAGCCACUCUCUUAGUCGGAUGAAUAGGCAUGUGAAUUAUGGUUUUCAAGGCUUGGGUGCUAUUCAUCCCCAUUCUCUUCCUGAUGUUCACAAUGGAGCAAAUAAUGGCACCCCUUACAAUCUGAACACCAUCACACCUAUUGGUGUCAAUAAGAACUCAAGAACAGCUGAAGCAGUUGACAGCAGACAUCUUCAUAAAGUGGGUUCUGGCAAUCUCAAUGGGCACUCAUUUGAUCGUGCCGGUGAAGGAGUUGUAAAGUGGUGGUGAUGAACACAUAAUUCACACAGGUGAGAUAGUCAAAUGAUGAAUAUAUGCACCCUGGAAGGCUGCUACUAAUUACACAUUCCUUGAACCUUCCUGUAAAAGCUUAGUAUGAAAGAUGUAAGCUUUAUUUGAAGGCAAGAACGCAUGGAGACUUUUUUUCCUGGCGGAGUAUA